rnacentral:rRNA from 1 species
GCACUAUACGGUGAAACUGCGAAUGGCUCAUUAAAUCAGUUAUCGUUUAUUUGAUAGUACCUUACUACAUGGAUAACCGUGGUAAUUCUAGAGCUAAUACAUGCUAAAAACCUCGACUUCGGAAGGGGUGUAUUUAUUAGAUAAAAAACCAAUGCCCUUCGGGGCUCCUUGGUGAAUCAUAAUAACUUAACGAAUCGCAUGGCCUUGCGCCGGCGAUGGUUCAUUCAAAUUUCUGCCCUAUCAACUUUCGAUGGUAGGAUAGUGGCCUACCAUGGUAUCAACGGGUAACGGGGAAUUAGGGUUCGACUCCGGAGAGGGAGCCUGAGAAACGGCUACCACAUCCAAGGAAGGCAGCAGGCGCGCAAAUUACCCAAUCCCGACACGGGGAGGUAGUGACAAUAAAUACUGAUACAGGGCUCUUUUGGGUCUUGUAAUUGGAAUGAGUACAAUUUAAAUCCCUUAACGAGGAACAAUUGGAGGGCAAGUCUGGUGCCAGCAGCCGCGGUAAUUCCAGCUCCAAUAGCGUAUAUUAAAGUUGUUGCAGUUAAAAAGCUCGUAGUUGAACCUUGGGCCUGGCUGGCCGGUCCGCCUCACCGCGUGUACUGGUCCGGCCGGGCCUUUCCUUCUGGGGAACCUCAUGCCCUUCACUGGGCGUGUUGGGGAACCAGGACUUUUACUUUGAAAAAAUUAGAGUGUUCAAAGCAGGCCUUUGCUCGAAUACAUUAGCAUGGAAUAAUAGAAUAGGACGUGUGGUUCUAUUUUGUUGGUUUCUAGGACCGCCGUAAUGAUUAAUAGGGAUAGUCGGGGGGCAUCAGUAUUCAAUCGUCAGAGGUGAAAUUCUUGGAUUGAUUGAAGACUAACUACUGCGAAAGCAUUUGCCAAGGGAUGUUUUCAUUAAUCAGUGAACGAAAGUUAGGGGAUCGAAGACGAUCAGAUACCGUCGUAGUCUUAACCAUAAACUAUGCCGACUAGGGAUCGGACGGUGUUAGUAUUUUGACCCGUUCGGCACCUUACGAGAAAUCAAAGUUUUUGGGU